UAGGGAAUCUUCCACAAUGGGCGCAAGCCUGAUGGAGCAACACCGCGUGAGUGAAGAAGGGUUUCGGCUCGUAAAGCUCUGUUGUUGGAGAUGAACGUGCGUGAGAGUAACUGUUCACGCAGUGACGGUAUCCAACCAGAAAGUCACGGCUAACUACGUGCC
rnacentral:rRNA from 1 species